CAUCGUCAAUGAGCUGCGGACUGAUCCUCGU
rnacentral:sRNA from 1 species